CUCUGAAAGCAAACGGACCCCUCCACAUGCCUGUCAUCCGGUGGCCACAUGGAAGCUGUCCCGGCUCAUCUCUUCCUCCACAGGCCUACUUUCCACACUGAGCCACAUGGCAGCCAUCCCUGCUCAUCUCUUCCUCCACAGGGCUACUUUCCACACUGAGUCACGUGGAAGCUGUCCCAGCUCAUCUCUUCCUCCACAGGCCUACUUUCCACACUGAGUCACGUGGCAGCCAUCCGGGCUCAUCUCUUCCUCCACAUGCCUGUCAUCCUGUGGCCACGUGGAAGCUGUCCCAGCUCAUCUCUUCCUCCACAGGCCUGCCAUCCAGUGGCCACGUGGAAGUCGUCCCGGUUCAUCUCUUCCUCCACAGGCCUACUUUCCACACUGAGCCACGUGGCAGCCGUCCUGGCUCAUCUCUUCCUCCAUAGGCCUGUCAUCCGGUGGCCACGUGGAAGCCGCCCCGGCUCAUCUCUUCCUCCACAGGCCUACUUUCCACACCGAGUCACGUGGAAGCCGCCCUGGCUCAUCUCUUCUUCCAUAGGCCUACUUUCCACACUGAGUCACGUGGAAGCCGUCCCAGCUCAUCUCUUCCUCCACAGGCCUACUUUCCACACUGAGAACAGGAUGAUAGAAGAGGAGGUGGAUUUGAAAGAUGGACCAUGACCCUUCUGUUCCUUUCCUACUUGGACAUCUGCCCACCACUCCGUGCAGACUCUCUCCUGCACCUACCAUCCUUCCAGAAGAGGCUGACAGAGAGCUUUUCCCCAGGCAGAGGAAGUAGCAGGAUGAGAUUUCUCCAGCAGAUGUGGUGUGACCAGCUGCCCCAAUUUCCAGCUGCUCUGCCUUCCUGGCUAUGAUGGCCGCCUGCACCCUGGGACUGGGAACAAAAAUAAACUUGUUCUUCCCUAA